GACCAGUGACCCUAUAGACUGAGCAAGUGCUGUGUAUACAGUAGGGAAGGAAUCAGGAUCUUACAGUCCUUUUGGAGCAAGAUGUUGUACCAGACACCCAUCAUCUGGUUCUUUGCAUUCUGGAUUCCAGAUGCCUGGGGGAUCGUUGAUCUGACUCAGUCUCCAAUCACACUGUCUGUAAAUUUGGGACAGACUGUCACCAUCACUUGUAGAACCAAUAUCAUCAUUGACCAGUGGUUAGGUUGGCUUCAGAAAAUACCUGGACAACCCUUUAGGAUGCUGAUUUAUGAUGCCACCAAACGCAACCAUUGGACUCCUGAUCGGUUCGUGGGCAGUUGGUCAGGCAAAGAUUUCCACCUCACCAUCAAUGGGGUGGAAGCUGAAGACAUAGGAUAUUAUUAUUGUUACCAUCAUGAUACAAGGAAAUUGCCGUCACAGAGAUAUAGACCCAGACAAAAACCUUCUGACUGUUAUAUUAUAUGCUGCUAA